GAUAUAUUUUGAAGGUAGUGGAUCUCGACAGGGUUGAUAUGAGGACACAUGUGUAAUCAACGGCUGUAAUGACGCCACGUCAUUGUUACAUGUGUUCUCAGGUCACCCCUGCUGAGCUCUUUCUCUACCGACCAUCUUUAUC
rnacentral:pre_miRNA from 1 species